GGGGAAUUACCUCAAAUGGUAGAGCGCUCACUUAGUACGCGAGAGGUAGCAGGAUUGAUGCCUGCAUUCUCCA
rfam:Chelonia mydas contig163934, whole genome shotgun sequence.